rnacentral:rRNA from 1 species
AUUGAACGCUAGCGGGAUGCUUUACACAUGCAAGUCGAACGGCAGCGCGGACUUCGGUCUGGCGGCGAGUGGCGAACGGGUGAGUAAUGUAUCGGAACGUGCCCAGUAGCGGGGGAUAACUACGCGAAAGCGUAGCUAAUACCGCAUACGCCCUACGGGGGAAAGCAGGGGAUCGUAAGACCUUGCACUAUUGGAGCGGCCGAUAUCGGAUUAGCUAGUUGGUGAGGUAACGGCUCACCAAGGCGACGAUCCGUAGCUGGUUUGAGAGGACGACCAGCCACGCUGGGACUGAGACACGGCCCAGACUCCUACGGGAGGCAGCAGUGGGGAAUUUUGGACAAUGGGGGCAACCCUGAUCCAGCCAUCCCGCGUGUGCGAUGAAGGCCUUCGGGUUGUAAAGCACUUUUGGCAGGAAAGAAACGUCGCGGGCUAAUACCCCGUGGAACUGACGGUACCUGCAGAAUAAGCACCGGCUAACUACGUG